UGGGGAAUAUUGCGCAAUGGGCGAAAGCCUGACGCAGCGACGCCGCGUGAGGGAUGAAGGUCUUCGGAUUGUAAACCUCUUUCAGCAGGGACGAAGCGAAAGUGACGGUACCUGCAAAAGAAGCACCGGCUAACUACGUGCCAGCAGCCGCGGUAAUACGUAGGGUGCAAGCGUUGUCCGGAUUUAUUGGGCGUAAAGAGCUCGUAGGCGGUUAGACACGUCGGAUGUGAAAACUCGGGACUCAACCCCGAGCCUGCAUUCGAUACGGUCUGACUAGAGUGUGGUAGGGGAAACUGGAAUUCCUGGUGUAGCGGUGAAAUGCGCAGAUAUCAGGAGGAACACCGAUGGCGAAGGCAGGUUUCUGGGCCAAUACUGACGCUGAGGAGCGAAAGCGUGGGGAGCAAACAGG
rnacentral:rRNA from 1 species